rnacentral:lncRNA from 1 species
AUGCACUCCCUGAGUCAAGAGUCUGACUUCCAUCUCUCUGGGGACUUGUGGGCAGAGCAGUCACACAGGACUCUUCCAGAAAGAGAGGAGAGAAAGGGACCAGAAGCAGGAGGAACAGAUGAAGUUCACUUUCUCCAUCUGUUUUGUAUUGAGCAAGCUAUUACUAAAAUGCAGGUGUGGGCUGUUGAACUGGGGCCAAUAAGAAUUCGCCGAACUGGCAGCAAUUCCUCGAAAUAG